rnacentral:rRNA from 1 species
GACGAACGCUGGCGGCGUGCCUAACACAUGCAAGUCGAACGGAAAGGCCCGGCUUUUGUGCGGUGCUCGAGUGGCGAACGGGUGAGUAACACGUGAGUAACCUGUCCCUGACUGUGGGAUAUCAUCAGGAAACAGGGGCUAUUAUCGGGUAGGAUCUCUUGCCCCAUGGUGGGGGUUGGUAAGUUUCGGCGUUUGGGGAUGGACUCGCUGCUUAUCGGCUUGUUGGGGGGGUAGUGGCUGACCACGGCUAUGAGGGGUAGCCUACCUGAGAGGAUGGACGGCCACACUAGGACUGAGAUAGGGCGCAGACGCCAACCGGACGCAAGGGUGGAGAGUGUGACGCAGCGGACGGGAGCGAGAUACGACGGCGCCGCGUGCGGAAAAACGGGCUUCUAGUUGUAAACAAAUUUGGCAUGAACCGGGGCGUGAGUGACGGUAAUGGGUAAAGAAGCACCGGCUAACUACGUG